rnacentral:tRNA from 1 species
GGAAUUGUGGCUCAGUGGUAGAGUGCUUGCCUGGCAUGUGUGAGGCCCUGAGUCCAAUCCUCAGCACUA